AUUCUUCGGAUGAAGAUCUUGGUGACUGAGUGGCGGACGGGUGAGUAACGCGUGGGUAACCUGCCUCAUACAGGGGGAUAACAGUUAGAAAUGACUGCUAAUACCGCAUAAGACCACAGCACCGCAUGGUGCAGGGGUAAAAACUCCGGUGGUACAGGAUGGACCCGCGUCUGAUUAGCUGGUUGGUGAGGUAACGGCUCACCAAGGCGACGAUCAGUAGCCGACCUGAGAGGGUGACCGGCCACAUUGGGACUGAGACACGGCCCAAACUCC
rnacentral:rRNA from 1 species